rnacentral:rRNA from 1 species
CCUACGGGAGGCAGCAGUGAGGAAUAUUGGUCAAUGGGCGCAAGCCUGAACCAGCCAAGUAGCGUGAAGGAUGACUGCCCUACGGGUUGUAAACUUCUUUUAUAAAGGAAUAGAGUUAGGCACGUGUGCCUUUUUGUAUGUACUUUAUGAAUAAGGAUCGGCUAACUCCGUGCCAGCAGCCGCGGUAAUACGGAGGGUCGGAGCGUUAACCGGAUUUAUUGGGUUGAAAGGGAGCGUAGAUGGGUUGUUAAGUCAGUUGUGAAAGUUUGGGGCUCAACCGGAAAACUGCAAUUGAUACUGGCAGUCUUGAGUACAGUUGAGGUAGGUGGAAUUCGAGGUGUAGCGGUGAAAUGCUUAGAUAUCACGAAGAACUCCGAUGGCGAAGGCAGCUUACUAAACUGCCACUGACAUUGAGGUUCGAAAGUGUGGGUAUCAAACAGGAUUAGAUACCCGUGUAGUC